rnacentral:rRNA from 1 species
UAGAGUUUGAUCCUGGCUCAGAUUGACCCUUGGCGGCAUGCUUUACACAUGCAAGUCGAACGGCAGCGCGGGGUCAACCCUGGCGGCGAGUGGCGAACGGGUGAGUAAUGCAUCGGAACGUAUCCUGUAAUGGGGGAUAACGUAGCGAAAGUUACGCUAAUACCGCAUACGCUCGAGAGAGGAAAGUGGGGGAUCGCAAGACCUCACGUUAUAGGAGCGGCCGAUGUCCGAUUAGCUAGUUGGUGGGGUAAAGGCCUACCAAGGCGACGAUCGGUAGCUGGUCUGAGAGGAUGAUCAGCCACACUGGGACUGAGACACGGCCCAGACUCCUACGGGAGGCAGCAGUGGGGAAUUUUGGACAAUGGGCGAAAGCCUGAUCCAGCCAUGCCGCGUGCGGGAAGAAGGCCUUCGGGUUGUAAACCGCUUUAGUCCGGGAAAAAGGGGUGCGAGGAUAAUACCCUCGUGCUUUGAUGGUACUGGAAGAAUAAGCACCGGCUAACUACGUGCCAGCAGCCGCGGUAAUA